CGGAAUCUGCCUAUUUGUGGGGGAUAACGUAGGGAAACUUACGCUAAUACCGCAUACGACCUACGGGUGAAAGCGGAGGACCUUCGGGCUUCGCGCAGAUAGAUGAGCCGAUGUCGGAUUAGCUAGUUGGCGGGGUAAAGGCCCACCAAGGCGACGAUCCGUAGCUGGUCUGAGAGGAUGAUCAGCCACACUGGAACUGAGACACGGUCCAGACUCCUACGGGAGGCAGCAGUGGGGAAUAUUGGACAAUGGGCGCAAGCCUGAUCCAGCCAUGCCGCGUGGGUGAAGAAGGCCUUCGGGUUGUAAAGCCCUUUUGUUGGGAAAGAAAAGCAGCCGGUUAAUACCCGGUUGUUCUGACGGUACCCAAAGAAUAAGCACCGGCUAACUUCGUGCCAGCAGCCGCGGUAAUACGAAGGGUGCAAGCGUUACUCGGAAUUACUGGGCGUAAAGCGUGCGUAGGUGGUUUGUUAAGUCUGAUGUGAAAGCCCUGGGCUCAACCUGGGAAUUGCAUUGGAUACUGGCAGGCUAGAGUGCGGUAGAGGGUAGUGGAAUUCCCGGU
rnacentral:rRNA from 1 species